rnacentral:lncRNA from 1 species
CAGUGAGCAAGGUUAAGUUUUGGUGGUCAAGUCCAUAUCUCAGAUACUAUAAGCAAUAGGGCUAGUAUAUUCGGUGUAUGGAAGGACUGUAAGGAGUACAUGUCCAACUGGCAGGUGUCAUCUGACCUUGACCUCAUUUUCAUGGUUCAGUGGUUAUAGUUAAGUUUUUGUGUUUUGGUCUGUUUUUCUCAUACUUUAUGCAAUAGGUCUACUAUAUUUGUUGUAUGGAAUGAUUGUAAGGUGAACAUGUCUAGCGGACAGAUGUCAUCUGACCUUGACCUCAUUUUCAUGGUUCAGUGGUCAAAGUUAAGUU